rnacentral:misc_RNA from 1 species
CAACCAUCAAGCGCCUGCGCUUGUGUUGGAGCCCUGCGGCUGCCGCAGGCUCCCAAACCCAGUGGCGGGCUCGUCGUCGUUCCGAGUGCAGUAAACUUACCACGCUCAGGGCACGCGACGGGUUACCGGCCGUAAAACCCCCAUCUUAUCAA